GAGAAACAGAAUAUACCCCUUCAUAUAUGUUCGAUAAUAUGGUUCGAAUGUUUCUACCAAAUCACCUUAAAUGAUUUGACUAUGCAGGCGGUCUUUUUUAGG
rnacentral:ncRNA from 1 species